rnacentral:lncRNA from 1 species
CUCCACUCUGCAAUGAGAAAACUGAUGCCCAGACAAGGGGAGGUGACUUGCCGUGUUCAUACAGAGUUGCUGGUAGAGUUGGUGGACCAGGGAUUCCUGACCGCCAGGCACUGUUUUGGACACUGGGGAUAGAGAAGUGAACAAGCCACAGACUUUGACCUCCAGAAGUUCCCUGUGUACUAAGGGAGAAAUGUCUGCAGAGAAAGAAGUAGAGGUCAGCAUGAUAAAACCAUACCUGAGCUCCUGGAGCAUUUGUACUUCCCUCAGUAAUAUAUAUAUAUACUUUAUCAUGAUCAAAAUCCCAAAGAGAAGGAAAAAGAGAAGUUAGCCCAACAUUUGGAGUUUUCCCCUCCAGGUAUUUGCUGACUUCUAAGUAGCAGCCAAGAGGCCAAGAAGCUGAGUAUCAAAUGGUGGCUGAGGAGCUGAGGAGCUGAGAAGCUGAGCAGAGCCCAGUAGUCACUCAGGUCUGGGAAGUUAAAAAUUGGAAUUCAGGGGCCACCAGGGUGGAGGGAUAAACACAAGGAAAGGCAACACCCAAGGAGAAAAGAGGAAUUGGAAAUACCAGUCAUCUCAGACUGAGACACCCUUUGAAUCGGCUUAAUCUCAGAACCAAUCGACUGCUCUGCUUCUCUCUAAACUGCAUUCAGAAAAAGAAGUAAACACUCUGGAGAAAGAUAACAACAUCUAGAACCUUGAAAUAUCUCUACCAUUUUUUGUGGACAAUUGCUAGCAUUCAAUCUCAAAUCAUCAGACAUACCAGGAAUCAAGAAUAAAAAGGAUCAAAAUCAAAAGAAAUAUUACAAGAGAAACAGAGAAAGAGGAGAUCCAGCUAUUGGAGUUAUCAAUACAUAAAAUGGGGAUAACAACAGGACCUACUAAAUGAACUCAGCUUCUAAAAGGCUGGAGCCCCAGACUGCCUUCCAGCUGAGCAUCUGCAGAUGUGAGGAGCCCUGCCUGAGCCCCUCCAAGCAGGAACCCCUCCAGAUCAAGAUGCAUGGCUGUGUUCCAGGAGGCUGGGUGUUCGAGCCAUUGACCCUCUGCAGUCAAUUUGCUCCAGUUUCAUAGAAUGUUCCCACAGUCAGAUGGCUGUGGGAACCCAGACCUGGGCCCCUGGAGCUUUCCCCACUAACUUGCUCCUUGGAGCAAUUACCAGACCAUCCGUGCAGAUUUAUGUUUCCUGAGGCCUAGAGGCUCCCUUCUCUCGUAGCCUGUGUGACCUUUCCCGUAGCUGUCUCCACUUGCUCAUGGCUUCUUCACCUGAAAAAAAAAAAAAAGGCUCUGCCCAGGGAGCUGUGCUCCAAGAGAAGACAGGACAGCUUGGCACAGUGCCAUGGCCUAUCUGGCCAGGGUAAGAACAACGUGUCCCUGAAUGGAAUUUGUGGAAGUUAAGCCUACUUGGAGUAGAUGCUUGC